rnacentral:misc_RNA from 1 species
GAUGAAGAACGCAGCGAAAUGCGAUAAGUAAUGUGAAUUGCAGAAUUCAGUGAAUCAUCGAAUCUUUGAACGCACAUUGCGCCCCUUGGUAUUCCGAGGGGCAUGCCUGUUCGAGCGUCAUUAUAACCCCUCAAGCUCAGCUUGGUGUUGGGGCCUGCUGCACUGGCAGCCCUUAAAAUCAGUGGCGGCGCCAUCUGGCUCUAAGCGUAGUAAUUCUUCUCGCUAUGGAGUCCUGGUGGAUGCUUGCCAUCAACCCCCAAUUUUUCUAUGGUUGACCUCGGAUCAGGUAGGGAUACCCGCUGAACUUAAGCAUAUCAAAAGCGGAGGA